AAUCAACGCUGGCGGCGUGCCUCAGACAUGCAAGUCGAACGCGAAAUUUCCCUUCGGGGAGAAAGUAGAGUGGCGCACGGGUGAGUAACACGUAGGUAAUCUACCUUUGGAUGGGGAAUAACACCGAGAAAUCGGUGCUAAUACCGCAUAAUGCAGCGGCACCUAAUGGUGACAGUUGUUAAAGCGGGGGAUCGCAAGACCUCGCGUCUAAAGAGGAGCCUGCGGCGGAUUAGCUAGUUGGUAAGGUAAUGGCUUACCAAGGCGACGAUCCGUAACCGGCCUGAGAGGGCGGUCGGUCACACUGACACUGACAUACGGGUCAGACUCCUACGGGAGGCAGCAGUCGGGAAUUUUGGACAAUGGGCGAAAGCCUGACCCAGCAACGCCGCGUGAAGGAUGAAAUCCCUCGGGAUGUAAACUUCGCAAGAACGGGAAGAAUAAGCCGGUGUGAAUACCACCGGCGAUGACGGUACCGUUUGUAAGCUCCGGCUAACUCCGUGCCAGCAGCCGCGGUAAUAC
rnacentral:rRNA from 1 species